AGGAAUCUGCCUGGUAGUGGGGGACAACGUUUCGAAAGGAACGCUAAUACCGCAUACGUCCUACGGGAGAAAGCAGGGGACCUUCGGGCCUUGCGCUAUCAGAUGAGCCUAGGUCGGAUUAGCUAGUUGGUGGGGUAAUGGCUCACCAAGGCGACGAUCCGUAACUGGUCUGAGAGGAUGAUCAGUCACACUGGAACUGAGACACGGUCCAGACUCCUACGGGAGGCAGCAGUGGGGAAUAUUGGACAAUGGGCGAAAGCCUGAUCCAGCCAUGCCGCGUGUGUGAAGAAGGUCUUCGGAUUGUAAAGCACUUUAAGUUGGGAGGAAGGGCAUUAACCUAAUACGUUAGUGUUUUGACGUUACCGACAGAAUAAGCACCGGCUAACUCUGUGCCAGCAGCCGCGGUAAUACAGAGGGUGCAAGCGUUAAUCGGAAUUACUGGGCGUAAAGCGCGCGUAGGUGGUUUGUUAAGUUGGAUGUGAAAGCCCCGGGCUCAACCUGGGAACUGCAUCCAAAACUGGCAAGCUAGAGUACGGUAGAGGGUGGUGGAAUUUCCUGU
rnacentral:rRNA from 1 species